CGCCCGUGCGGCUCGUUGGCAUGGAGGCCAGCUGGUCUUCCCCGGUGGGCCCCGUUGAUGCCGCAGACCCGCAGCUGCAGCGUUUCGUGGAGGUGGAGACGCAGAAACAGCGCGUGCAGCUGCUGGUCCACCACAUGACGGAGCUGUGCUGGGAGAAGUGCAUGGACAAGCCCGGGCCCAAGCUGGACGGCCGGGCCGAGGUCUGCCUGGUGAACUGCGUCGAGCGCUUCAUCGAUACGAGCCAGUUCAUCUUGAAUCGACUGGAGCAGAUCCAGAAAGCCAGACCGUUCUUCUCUGAAAGCCUCUCUGACUGAUCUCGGCCUUUCCCUCCUUGGAAAAGGAAGGAUCUACAGAGAAGCAUGCACAAGGACACAGGACUUUCCUUUAACCAGAAAAAUCCCACGUCAAGAACAUGUAUACCUCAGCUUAGAGUUCAGAGAAGCAGAAAGCAGAAAUUUCCCCUGGCUGUGGGGUUGAAACAGGAAACUACCCAGGAACCCUCUGCAGACGAAACCGGGGAUUCCCAGCUCCCAGGACAGGUGGACAGUUUUCACAAGAAACAUUCUCCAUGCAGCUUCCACCUCUGCCCCGGCCUCUUGAAAAUGGAAGCUCCAAGAGGCUACCGGGUACUCACCAGUUUGCAGUGAGACCCCAGCAUGUGUGCCUGAGGACCAUGGCAAGCAACUCUUACAGUUCAGAGGUUUAGUCCGUUGUUAUCAUGGUGGAAAGCAUGGUAGCACACAAGCACACACGGUGCUGGAGAAGGAGCUGAGAGUUCUACAUCUGGAUCAGCAGACAACAGGAAGAGACUGGGCCUGGCUUGAGCACCUGAGACCUCAGAACCUACCCCCAGUGACACACUUCCUCCAACAAAGCUACACUGACUCCAACAAGGCCACACCUCCUAACAGUGCUACUUCCUAUGGGUCUGUGUGGGCCAUUUUCAUUCAAACCACCAUAUUCCACUCCCUGGCCCCCGUAGGCGUAGAACCGUAUCAUAGUGCAAAAUGCAUUUAGUCCAAAUUCAAGAGUUUUCAUAAUCUGUCAGUCUCAAAGUUGUUUAAAAGUUCAAAGUCUCUUCUGAGACUCAUGCAAUCUCUUAACUGUAAUCUCCUGUAAAAUCAAAAUGAAAAAGCAGAUAACAUACCUACAGCAUACAAUAACACAGGAUAUACAUUACCAUUCCAAAAGGGAGAAAAGGGAGCAUAGUGAGGAAAUGCUGGACUAAAGCAAGACCAAAAACCAGCUGGGCAAACUCCACACUCUGCAUCUCCAUGUCUGAUGGCAAAACACUCUUCAGAUCUCCAACUCCUUUCAGCUCUGUUGACUGCAACACACUUCUCUCUCUUGGGCUGGUUCCACUCCCUGUUAUCAGCUGUCCUCGGCAGGUAUCCCACUGCUCUGACAUCGCCAACAUUUUGGGGUCUCCAAGUCAACCCAGGCUUUGCCUUCACAGCUUCAUGCAAUGGCCUCUCUAGGCCUCCAUGCAGGAACACCCCUGACAUGUGCCUGGCCUCAGUGGCUUUCCUUAGCUGUGGAGGGAGGUUCCAUAACCCCUUUCUUCUAUCCUUGACUCUAAAGCCAGAAUCACAUGGCUGAAGCUUCUAAGUUCUGCUGCUUGCUGAGGCUGGAACAUGGCCCCCUCAUUCAAUUACAUCUUCACCAGCUUUCUGUUUUUGAUGGUUUCCUUUAUUGUGGUUUUUUUCACUGCCUAAGCUUGACUGUCUUGGUAUUCACUCUGUAAACCAGACUGGCCUUGAACUCUGAAAUCUGCCUGCCCUCUGCCUUCCCAGUGCUGAGAUUAAAGGUGUGCACCACCACAAA